rnacentral:rRNA from 1 species
AGACAGCAGCCGCCGCGGUAAUACAGAGGGUGCGAGCGUUAAUCGGAUUUACUGGGCGUAAAGCGUGCGUAGGCGGCUUCUUAAGUCGGAUGUGAAAUCCCUGAGCUUAACUUAGGAAUUGCAUUCGAUACUGGGAAGCUAGAGUAUGGGAGAGGAUGGUAGAAUUCCAGGUGUAGCGGUGAAAUGCGUAGAGAUCUGGAGGAAUACCGAUGGCGAAGGCAGCCAUCUGGCCUAAUACUGACGCUGAGGUACGAAAGCAUGGGGAGCAAACAGGAUUAGAUACCCCCGUAGUCCCUGUCUCUUAUAA